rnacentral:lncRNA from 10 species
CCUGCAGCAAUGCUGAUCUCCCGGCCAGUGCCCUGACACCUGGGCCUUAAAAUCUAGCCUGUCUAAUGGAACCCAAGUCUCUGUACAAGGAGGGAUUCUGUAUGGAGCCCGCUGCAAGCCCCAGCAGGAGACUCAAGCCCCAGCAGGAGACACCAGCAGCACAGUUGCCCAGGUUUUUGACGCAAAGCCACAUCCUCUUCUGUAGAUAACUAUUCUGCAUUUGAGAAAUAGCUCUUGGCUUUCUACUGAGUCCUGGUGUAACCAAGUGGCUUCAUUUUUUCUAAGAAACAGGAAAUUAGUUACUAUUAUUUUUUAAUGAUCUUCUCUUCUUUUCUCCUCUCCCCUUUCCCUAGUUCCUCUUUCCUACUCAGCCCUUCAGAAAUGCAGAUGUAACCUUUCACCUCCAGGAGAUGGCCUCCGAACUUCCGCUCUCCAGGACUUGCCUGAGACUUUCAUCCAUCAGAAAGCUCCUGCUGCCUCUGUUCCCAGUGUGGACAGCCCGACGUCCAGGGCUCCAAGUGUCCAUUUCUCUGAGCAACUGGGAAAGGAAAAACACAGAUCUGGAAUGAGAUGUGCCCUGGAGAAAGCCAAGAGUUCUCUCAGCCUUGUGUUCACAUGUUUUCCACACAGCGCAGGAGGCAGCGGCAGAGACUUUCAGGUAAGAGCAGCCUUUGGCAUCCACAAGAACCUGGAACCCUCGGUGGGACUCAGGCCUGGGUCCCCAGCCCUCCUGGAGGACCCUGUCUAUAGGAGACUCCAGGCGACAGCCUGGCGAUGAGCCAGGGGAGGGUUUCCUGAUCUGAGCAGGACAGAAAGUG